GCUCCAUUGGACUAGUGGUUAGAGUGUUCGCCUUGGAUGUGGGAGGUCGUGGGUUCAAACCCCAGUCGUGUUAUA